rnacentral:lncRNA from 1 species
AAUGGAAUGUUUACACAACUUCAGAGGAUGAUGGUGAAACAAAAAAAGUGAAGCACUAGGGUGGACCUAACAAGGAGUUGGAAGAAAACCUAAUGUUCAACUGAUUUUUGAACACCUAAAAAUGUACA